UCUUCUCUUAGAUCGAAACAAACGUUAUGACGUCUCGACAAUGGUAAUUGAGCGAACGAAAGAAACGAAUCGUGCGAAGCGGAAUGAAAACCGAGCGAUAAACGAAGUGCACCAAUACAUUCAGCUCUUCAGUUCCACUCCUUGCACAGCCCAGGUUGGUAUAUGCCUGUUCAUUUGCUGGCCAUGCGUUUGCAUUCCCUACUGUUCGACUGCCCCAACUGUGGAUCGUUCAUCGUAGCUUACAGAAAGUAAAAGCUUUCUGCCGUUACUUUAGUAAGCUUUCCGACCACCUUAACAGCUUGUAACAAUUAAGGUAUGGUAGCGCCACUAUUGAUGGAGUGGCGGGAUUUGCCACUAGAUAUAUAAAAACAAAUACAGCAGAAAUUUAUAGCUCCCUUACAGUAGCCCGGAUCGUACUACUUUGUUAAUGUGGUAGCCUUCGAUUACAUUUUAAUCUUUUACUAAACAUUGUGAAACGCAACCUCGGUUGGUGUGGGUUUAACCAAUCAGAGCAGGACACGUUGGAAUAGAUAAGAGUUCUGAAUUUAUUUCUCGUAUACGAAGUGGCAAGCGAUAUUCGUAAUAUGAGUCAGGGUUAUUCCAGUUAGACCUGUGCGAGUGAUCAGAUCGUCAAGCCCAAUUGUCAAGUCAAAAUUAUACCCAAGUGUGCUAUAUUGUUCAUACCGAGUGUGCUAUUCUUAGACUUGAAGUGAUAAAACGCGUGAUAGCUAACUUUGUUAUAUAAAGGAUCAUUGACGGACGAGCCGAAUGCUGAUACUUCGCGAAAUCUCCUAUCGCUGUUUCUUCAUAUCCGCGAUACACCCAGUACUGUAAUUGUAAAAUAAUAACAGGGAAAAUAAUGGAGCCCACCAAGGAACGAUUAAUCUAUGCAUGGGGUGGCAAUAUUGGCAAUCAUGGCAACAAAUACGAAGAAGAUUUAGCGUUGGUGCUGUUUGAGCGAGCAUCUUUCGGGAAGUCAGCAUUCAAACUUGCUUCAGAAAUGAAGGACGCUGGAAAAUUUGACGACGUAGUCAUAAUUUUCGAAGAACAGGAGGAAAUCUGGUUAAUCCAAACCAAACACAAAGGCAGCUCAGGUGAUACAAAACCAUUAUCGUUCGACAAUUUUUUUCCGAAGAUGUUCAAGGAGAAUAAAGAUUUUGCUCUUGUGCAGUACAUACAGUCAUAUUUAGAUGUCAUUCAAAAAGAUAAAUUCAAGAAGUAUAAGCAACGAUUUUUUAUCUUAACCAAUAGAUCAUUAGACGUUAGCGAUGAACAGCUUAAGAAGUUGGUGAACAUCGAGAUCUGUGAACAAAGUGAAGUGAACCCAAUAAUGAAGUUAGCUAAAUCCGACAAUUGCUACAUAAGAUUCAGACCAAAAGAGGAUAACAUUGAAGAAUUACUGAAUUUGCUGAACACCGAAAUAACUGCCAUUAGGGAUGCAAUCAUUGAACUCUUCAAAAGUGGAAAAGCUUCGGACUUACUGACGAAGUACAAAACACCAAUGCAGAAGAUCCUGACAGUUUUAGCUAAAAAUCCAAAUAAUGAUAACUCAAACAGCCAGGUCGAUACCACCCAUCAAUGGUUGUACAAUGAGCUAUUAAAUAAGAUUGAUAGAGAAGCAACGGUAAACAUAAUAAAAAAUAAAGCGUAUCAAGAUCUGAUGAAAGGUAAAUCUAGGGACACACAACUACCUCCAUAUAUAAAUGAAGAACGCGUGAACAAGUUCUUUCAGCAUCUAACUUUCUGUAUAGACCAACCAAGUGAUCUAAUGACAACCGUCAAGGAUCAUCUUCGCUCAUGGAUGAGAACUUGGAUUCCACCGGACGAUCUUGGCAAAGCACAAUUAGAGCUGCCUUUCUUUAAAUUUUAUCAAUGUUUUAAAGAUUGGAUCAAUCUUAGUAGUAACAAGCAUACACAAAAGAUUUACUUAACUGAAGCCGAGGGACGUAAGUGUGUCAAAGACAUAACGGAAGAAUUGAGUCAUAAUUUAUCACAACGUGAAAGCUCGUACAUAGAAAGAAAAUUAAUUGAUAACAGUCAUAUUGUUAGCGACCAUGAUUUCAUCAAACGAUUAAUAUACGACCAAGAAGAGAGCCAAUUUUCUCUCUUAAUCGGAGAGCCUGGUAUUGGAAAAACAACUAUCCUCCAAUACAUUGCCUUCGAAGUUCAAAAGAAAUCCGAUAUUGAUGUGUUCUUGAUAUAUUUGAAUAGCUUACAGGAAAUGCUCAAAACGGGCUGUGAAAACUUAGAAACAGUUUACACAAUUCUUAAACCGACUCUUUCAAAAACAAGCAUGACAAUAUUGAAAAACAAUCUAGAAAGCAACGCAAAUCGGUCUAUAAUCAUGUUUGAUGGGUUCGAUGAGAUCACUUUUCAUGACGAGGCAAUCGCCAUGUUUAAGCAAAUAUUGUCAAAGAAGAAUAUUCGAGUAAUUGUAAGUGGAAGAUAUCAUGUCAAAGGUAUUCUUGAAACAGCUUUUGGAGCAGGGGCAAUCAGAUUGAUUCCAUUUGAAAAAGAUGAACAAAUGAUGUUAUUGAAAAAUUCAUGGAAAACUUCCGAUGAUUCAGAGGAAUUUAAAAAUUAUUCAACUAAAUUGUUCGAAAAUUUCUGCUCGGAUAUAACAAGCUAUGAGUUUAAAUUCUUUGGGAUUUCCCUUAUGAUUCGAUUGUUGGCGGAAGCAUAUUCUGAUGAUUUCCAACAAUAUGUAAAUACUGUUCCAGAUCAACGCGUACAAAAUAUUUUCCCGACAGAAAAAUUUAAUGUUGUCUCAUUGUUUAAAAAGAUUGUGCAGUUUUCGUUUCAAAUCAAAUGCAAGAAAAAUAGAUCCCAAGAUGCUUACCGAAAUAUUGACAUGCAAAGUGAUGAAGAAGAGAACCGUCAGUUAAAAUACUUUAUUUUUGAGCAUCAAAUAGCUGCCUGGAAUCAGAUUUUAAGGUAUAACCAUGAAGAAGUAAUCACAUCGGGUGAACACGAAACAAUUUACAAUGACCUUCAAAAUCGAAUCAAAAACGGAAAAGAGAACUCUCCUCUAUUUAAUAUUUCCUAUGGCAAUCUUAGGUUCAUACACUUAUCAUAUGCCGAAUUUUUUGCUGCAAUGUAU